rnacentral:rRNA from 1 species
GACGAACGCUGGCGGCGUGCUUAACACAUGCAAGUCGAACGGAAAGGCCCUGCUUUUGUGGGGUGCUCGAGUGGCGAACGGGUGAGUAACACGUGAGUAACCUGCCCUUGACUUUGGGAUAACUUCAGGAAACUGGGGCUAAUACCGGAUAGGAGAUCCUGCUGCAUGGUGGGGGUCGGAAAGUUUCGGCGGGUGGGGAUGGACUCGGGGGUUAUCAGCUUGUGGGGGGGGGAGUGGCUUACCAAGGCGUUGACGGGUGGCCGGCCUGGGAGGGUGACCGGCCACAAUGGUCCUGCGGGACGGCCCAGAGUCCAACGGGGGGCAGCAGUGGGGAAUAUUGCACAAUGGGCGGGAGCCUGAUGCAGCAACGCCGCGUUCGGGAUGACGGCCUUCGGGUUGUAAACCGCUUUCGCCUGUGACGAAGCGUUAGUGACGGUAAUGAGUAAAGAAGCACCGGCUAACUACGUG